rnacentral:lncRNA from 10 species
UGUGUGAUGUUCCCCUCCCUGUGUCCGUGUGUUCUCACUGUUCAACUCCCACUUAUGAGUGAGAGCAUGCAGUGUUUGGUUUUCUGUUCCUGUGUUAGUUUGCUGAGGAUGAUGGUUUCCAGCUUCAUCUAUGUCCCUGCAAAGGACACGAACUCAUCCUUUUUUAUGACUGCAUAGUAUUUCAUGGUGUAUAUGUGCCACAUUUUCUUUAUCCCGUCUAUCAUUGAUGGGCAUUUGUGUCGGUUCCAAGUCUUUGCUAUUGUAAAUAGUGCUGCAAUAAACAUACAUGUGCAUAUGUCUAUAGUAGAAUGAUUUAUAAUCCUUUGGGUAUAUACCCAGUAAUGGGAUUGCUGGGUCAAAUGGUAUUUCUGGUUCUAGAUCCUUGAGGAAUCGCCACACUGUCUUCCACAAUGGUUGAACUGAUUUACGCUCCCACCAACAGUGUAAAAGCAUUCCUAUUUCUCCACAUCCUCUCCAGCAUCUGUUGUUUCCUGACUUUUUAAUGAUCACCAUUCUAACUGGCAUGAGAUGGUAUCUAUUCUGUUGAUUUGGGGUGGAGAGUUCUGUAGAUGUCUGUUAGGUCCACUUGGUCCAGAGCUGAGUUCAAGUUCUGAAUAUCCCUGUUAAUUUUCUGUCUCAUUGAUCUGUCUUGUUGACAGUGGGGUGUUAAAGUUUCCCACUAUUACUGUGUGGAAGUCUAAAUCUCUUUGUAGGUCUCUAAGAACUUGUUUUAUGAAUCUGGGUCCUGCUGUAUUGGGUGCAUAUAUAUUUAGGACAGUUAGCUCUUCUUGUUGCAUUGAUCCCUUUACCAUUAUGCAAUGCACUUCUUUGUCUCUUUUGUCUUUUUUGAUCUUUGUUGGUUUAAAGUAUUUUAUCAGAGACUAGGAUUGCAACCCCUGCUUUUUUUUUUUUU